rnacentral:lncRNA from 1 species
AUGGUUUUCACUUUUUGUUCCAUGCUGGAACUGGUGCUUAAUUUGUAAGGGGGAUUUAGUAGAAUAGCAGGUAGUUUAGAUUAAUUGGAAAUUCAAGGGGAGCUUAAUGAACUGACAGAAAUAGAGAUCUUUGUAAAUUUUUGAUUAUUUGUAGUAGAUUUAGUUUUUGUGUAUUUUAGAGAUAUGUGAUUCAGAAUUAGGACAAUUCUGAGUUGUGGCUCCGAGUAACGGAUGUGAAAAUAUUUUUUUUUCAUUGUCUUAGGCAAAUAGUUCAGUGAUUUAUUUUUUUUUAAAUGCCAUGUUUUUAGGGAAAAGAUAAAAUUUAGAUAGAGACCCAAUAGCCAGGGAACAGGGGGGUGGAUUUUAGAAAUAACCCAUUCGUUGGUUAGGUAAAUUAACUAGUAUUUUGAAUUUAAGGCAUAAGGGGCGUCUUCAGUUGUCAGGCCUUUGUCGGAACUUAUAGUUCCUCCUUUUUAGGAAGGAGGGGGGUGUUGUAUCUUUACCCUAAGCCCGGGUUCUCCCUAUUAGGAGUAGACAACUGAUACCAUUCUCCCUGCCAGGAGUAGACGAUGGACACCAAUGGGCCUCUGGUUGGAUACAGCGGAUGUCAGAGCCUGCGCACGCCUG